AAUUUCACGCGACCGUUACGUGCCCCCGACCGUUGGGUCUCGUUCCUUCGGUGACGUGCGCAGUCGAGCGGACGUGUACGCAAUUCGGGAAGCGCCGAUCUCUCACCGCGAGCCACACCGCCUCUUAAGGCCGCCUUUUUCUCCUUUGACGUGUGGAAUCUUCCAGCGCUUCGGAAGUAGGCCUCCGCCUCUGCACCGAGCGCGGUGUUCCAGACGAUUUCCAGACGACAGGGUUCCAGACGACACGUCGCGCUGUAAGAAGCACCGCGUGCUGCCGCAGCACUGCACCCUGCUGAAGAUCCUCUGGCUCUGUUCCUGGACCGUUCUCCGGCUUCGAGCGAAUAAUCCACUCCAGCCAUGACUGAGAUGUCUGAGAUGUCGUCAUUCGGAGGCGACGGGCUCUCCGGUAUUGAGUCGUCGGCCAUGAGCGAAAGUGUGAUUACCGGUG